AGCAGCUUAGAAAAUAUCUUCGACUUACCAACGAAACCUUUCCAUCGAUCCUUCUUCCAUAUUCGAUUACAUCGGAUAUCGUGAAAAUAAAAAUUUAUUUUUUAAUUAAUAAUAAUAAUAAUAAUAUCGAGUCGAUAAAAAAGAGAUAAGAUAAAACAAGGCAAGGACGAAAUUUAAAAAUUUAAUCGCUCUCACUCCAUCUAUGGAUUCUAUUGGAACGCAAAUUUUUACCUGAAUGAUAAAAGAAGCAAUAAGAAAGUAAAAGAUGAUCAAGACCGUGAUAAAGUAUCCGUUCGAAUGUAAUUAAAUCGUUUCCCAAUCUCUAUCGAUAAUUUAUUAUUCGAUGAAAAUAUAGCCGGAUCGAGGCCAGAAGAAUUCGAAAUUAAAAUUUAUCGCUUCGAGUACGCUUUCGAGCAGGUGAAUUGUCGACCCGCAAAGGGAAAGAUCGAAAAUAGAGAGGUCGGGUUAACCGAAGGAGAACCGAUCCGCAAACCGGAUCGUGGAACAAAAGGUCUGUGUACGCGCGGGUAAACCUAGAUAAACCUGACUCGUAUGUCACCCAGUCGAGGCAAUACACAGAAUGUUUGCACCGAGAUCUGGGCAAACCUAACUCAUAUCCGAUCUAGAUGCAAGUAAGCCUGAAAAUAUAUAUAUGGCGUUCGUAGCGCCAUCUGAAAAAGCAUUCUUUUGUUUUCAAGAAGAGUCGCGAUGAGCGCUCUAAGCAGUUUCAGUCCUGUGCGAUAAUUUCGAGCAAUAUGGCGUGCGAGAAACGUCAUUCGCGGUCGUUGUUUACUUUUUGCUUAGGAAAUCGGCUGUUGAAGUUACUGAAAUGAUUUGCACUGGGAGGGAACUGCACUGUAUCUUACGGAACAUGGGAAAAGUGGUAACAAAGAUUUAAAGGUGGAAAUUUUAAUUUGGAAGACGAUUCAAGUGCAUCGAGAAAGUUCGACGACGGUGAGUCAAAGGAAGUCACGAAAAUCCGACUUAGACGCGAGAAGAAUCUUGUAUCUGAUUUAAGUAAUAAAAUAUUGAAAAAAAAGGGAAAAGAAUUUAUUUGCAUAUCUCAUAUAUAUAGGUGGAAUUUAGACCGAGUUAAUCAAACAGUGAAAUUCGAUUUAUCGUGAAAGAAAAGAUAAUAAACGCGAUCGAUCGUAUUUAUAUAUCGUCGGAACACGGCGGAUGCUUUUUGGUUUACACCUUCCCGAAGUUUACUCCGAAAUAUAUGCAAAUUAUCGAUGAAUCUCGAAUAAAUUUUCCCCUCAAAACUUCCGAAUCCACGGUCGAAAGCGCUACACGCGCGCGGCAAACUAUUGAAUAAGUAUCUAAUUGGAACGCAAAAUAUUCAAGUAUUCAAUAGUGUGUCUUGCAUUUCAUGAAUAAAUUUCUCGCUUCUCCUUGUAUCGCGCGGUGUUGCACGGCGUAUUCGAAAUUUUGUACGCUACGCGUUACGAAAUUGCGUUAGAAAACGUUUCCAAACGUUAUUUAUUAACGUCAAUGGUGUCCGUUGAGUUUAUAUUUAUACGGAAAGGUGCGACCGGUAUCUUCUAUGUACAUUUAUGCGUGAAUUGGGUGCUCAUGGUUCGAACAAUGUGCAUUAAUCGAACAAAAUUCGUUUUCAAUUAAAAAUAAUAGUUUCAACGUGUAAUAACCAUGGAUCAAAAUUCUUAUACGUUGAAAUUUUUAACCUCAAAAAAAUAACUGAUAACUGAUCUGUCACGUUUAUUAAGAAGCGUUUAAAAAUUUCGAUUUUGUAACAGAUACGAAAAUUUUGUUUUAAAUUUUAAAUCCUUAUAAAUUAAAUUUAAAAUCGAAUAUUUUCUUUACCGCCAUAUUUCGACUCGAAAACUAUAUUAAAAUUAAUUUUAACGUUUACUCGUCUUUGAUCACUGAUAUUCAUAGUUUAAUUUCCUGUAUUAUAAUUUAUCCAUUUCUCAACAAAGACCACGACCCACAUCCAUACAAUACAGUUUAUCUCUAUUUUUCUUUUUUUUUAUUUAAUAUCCUUUCUUUAAUAAUUCUUCUAAUACUUUCGUAAUCUUUAUUAUUCCCUGACAGUAUCGAUGAAUCGUGAAUCACUCCACCGCCAACGUUUCGCUUAAUCCUCCCCUCCCUUCGCCUAUCUUCGAAAGAAAGUAUCCGAGUAAGAACGAAAUGUAUUCGUUAUCGAGACAUCGAACGAAAGAAAUCGUGACGUUUGUGAAUCGCGCGAGGAAGAUUAAUGGUUGGAAGGGUAUGUUUGUAAAGAGGGGUCGCUCGUUUCUUUCCUGGUAACAAUGGAGGCGAGUGGAAGGCGAUCGCGAAAUUAUUUCGCAAUCAGUGCCGGGCCAAGAUUAAUUCGUGCUCGACCGCGGUCCCGAACUUCCGCGGAAACGGUGGGGGGAACGGUCGGGCGAAGAGCGAGAGGUGACUAGGAGCGGAAACAAGGGAACGCUUACCGACCGGGCAGAGGCAUCGUGAUCUAUGCGUUUUAAUUCCGCGGCGAACCUUUAUUUAUUGGCUUUCGUUACAGGAUAUUGCGACAGACUUCGUCACUCCGCAACUAUUUCACAUUUCCUAUCCUAUCCAUAUUCUUUUCUUUUUUUUUUGCUUUUCUUUUUGGUUUUUUUUUCUUUCGAUCGUUUCUCUGCGAUUUUCUUUUUUAUCUAGGAAAGUACUAUUUUAUCUAGAUUGUCUGGAGGAUUCGUUUGCAGGUUUUUUGACAGGUAAGACGGAUAUUUUCUCUCUUAUACAAGCUUCUUUCCAGUAAUAUUUUUAUGAAUGUACAAUAAAAAUAAUAGGCAAGAUAUUUUCUCUUUUAUCCAAGCUUCUUUCCAAUCAUAUUUUUAUAGAUAUACGAAUAUAUAAGUUAUUCGAAAUCUUGUUCAUUUGAUCUGGAUUCAAAUCGAGACGAUUCCUUUUUUUAAUAAGUAAAGUUUUUUUCCCAAUUAUAUAUUUAUAGACAUACAAAUGAUUUUUCGAAAUCUUGGUUUUGAUUCAAAUCUCAUAAUGAACCCUCGAGUCCUUAUCCUAAUAUAUUUCUAUUCCUCGUCACACGAGCAAACGUUUCUCUCCACUCAGUUACUCGCGAAAUUUGUCUCGCGUCCAAUAAAUCCCCUCACGCGCAUACAAUCUUCACGUACGUCUUUCUCCUCCAAGCUUGCUCGUCUUCCCCCUCCACUAUUUCUUUUUCCCCCUCCCUCUCCAACGAGGAUAUCUCGCAGAUGUCUCUCUCCCACUCUCGAGUUUCCAACUUUCUCUCCAAGGAUGAACGUUAUGCGCAACGAUAGCACACAAGCGCUGUACACGUCGAAACAUACGUCACACAGGAUACGGAUUGUAACGAUGAUACGCAAACGAUCAGCCUGAUGCUGCGUAUCCAUUGAUCAUCGUUGCAAUGUAUCAUCGUUUCAAUGAUGCAACGUUUACGUAUACGUUUCAUUCGCGUUCCAAGAAGCUAUGAUGUUAAUUAAUUUUCCAUGCAUGCGAACUAUAUCGCAACGCUGUUUACGUGAAAUGUAAAUUAAGCUGAAUGAUCAGAGAAGUCUAUCGAGUAAUAAGUGAAGUUGUUAGUUGCAAAUUUAUUAUUAUUAUUCUCGAAUAUAUCAGGAGUAAAUAUUGAUUUUUAUUUAAUAAUUGUAUAUAUUAUAUCGAAUUAUAUGACGGAUAAAUGGAAGUUGUAUGGCUUAUUGGACCGUGACUUCGUGAUUACUCUUUUUUUUUCUUCCUUAACGAAGCCAAAGUAAGGAAAGUUUGAUCAAUGUGUAUGAUUAAUGAGCUAGAGAACUGUCGAGUAAGUGAAGUUGAUUAGUUGCAAAUUUAUUAUUAUUAUUCUCGAAUAUAUCAAGAGCAAGUAAAUAUUGGUUUUUAUUUAAUAAUUGUAUACUGUGUCGAAUUAUAUUAGGAACGAUGAAUAAAUAAAUAAAUGUAACGUGUGUUGUUCGCGGACUCCAAUUCCGUGAUUGGAUAGUGUUUUUUUUGUUAAUUACUCGUUAACAAAGAAAAAUGUUUACGGAGAUUCAACAUUUGUUCCAAUAUUUCUGGGACACCUUAUAUAUUACAAUUCUUACUUACAAUAAAAGGAGGAUCUAAUAAAAAAAGGAAAAUAAAAUUAUUAAAUAAUAAAUAUAAAUUAAAUAAAAAAAAGUUGUAUGUUAAAAUACUUGCAAUAAGAGACAAGUUUAGAGAAUUAUUAAUGAACAUUUGAAAUAUGGCGGGUAAAUAAAUGCAAACGAAAAAAAAUCGUAUCGUCGAAGGCAAAAUGAAAACGUUUCAUUUCGAAAUUAGGAUGGACGAGGUUUAUCUCUAUCGAGAUAUUAUUUAUGAUCCUUGGCGAUUGUAGCUAUGAUUCAUGUGCCCGCUUACGUUUGCACACUGUGGCUGUGCCAACGGCCAACUACUAUGCCGCGUACGUCCACCAAUUUCUGCGAUACUUGCCCGGGCUAUCGAAUAUUGUUCCACGAAACUCUAUUCUAUUCGCGGCUGUUUCCAGCUUCGACACAAUGACACACCGCGCGAAAUCUCCCCACAAGAAUUUUCAUUCCGUGCAUGUGUCCAUGCAGUUCGAGGAUUAAGUAUAUGAGGGCAAUGUUAUAAUAAUAAUAAUAUUAAUAAUCAUUCGACCAGAUUUGAUGACACUUGCAAAUAAUUACGAUCAAUCGUGAAAUAACGUAUUAGGUGUGCGAAUACGAUCGUAACUUCUCACCGAAUUCCAAUUACUAUAUCGUUCGUGGCGCCAUCUGAAAGAGCGUUCUUUUGUUUUUAAGACGAGUCGCGAUGAGCGCUCUAAGCAGUUUCAGUCCUGUGCGAUAAUUUCGAGCAAUAUGGCGUGCGAGAAACGUCGUUCGCGUAGCUGUUUACUAUUUGCUUAGAAUAUCGGCUGUUGAAGUUAUUGAAAUGGUGCUGGGAGAGAAUACUGUAUCUUACGGAACAUGGAAAAAGUCGUAGAAAAGAUUAAAAUUUGAAUUAAAAAAUUUAAAAAGCCGGAAAUUUUAAUUUACAAGACUACGAUCGUUCAGGUGCACCGAGAAAGUUCGAUUUAGACACGAGAAGAAUCUUGUAUUGGAAUUUAUGUAAUAAAAUCGUGAAUUUGGAAAAAAAACUUAUUUACGCAAUCAACGAUUGGUGAAAAUUACAACUGAACGUUAUAUAUAUAUAGGAAAUCUUCGUGACGAUUAAAAAAAUAUAGAUUAUUAAUAAUUACUUUGUUUAUGGAAGAUGUUUAUAAGGUUAGAAAAAAAAAGAACAAAGUGACGAAAGUAAGUAACGAUGAUAUCUAGCUAGCUAUUAGAAUUUUAGAAAGUUCUUGGCAUAAUCCCGGUGGAAUUGAUGUAAUAACAUUUGAAGAGGUAUUUUCAAGGCGACGGGGACUGAUGGCUCCGCCGAAGUAAUUUACUUAAGCACUUACGGUUAAGUGGCCGCCAAUGUAUAAUACGACGAAUUCUAUUAAAGCGGAAAAUUUAAUUGAAAUACAUUGUUAAUCGAAAACUUAAUUGGAGAAUCACGUUGACUCGAAGAGGAGAGGAAAUCUUUUCCAAAGUUGACUUUAUGUAACGUCUCCGUAACAAGUAGUACGAGUAAACGAAUUAACAGUGAAAAUAUGGAGGUGCUCUCGAUCGAUUGCCUUUUAUCGUAGUCGAAACGUAGUUCGAAUAGGAGUUAAUUGGACAAAAUUAUUAUUUUUGAAUUUAUAUGGAGAUUUAAUUUUUACAACACAAUUUUUUAUCAUAUUUUUUAUCAUAAUUCAUUACUUCGUCAACAUAAAAAUAUGACUAAGUAUAUAAAAAAGAAUUAAUAUCGCAUUUAAUUUGGUAUAUAGAAUGAAAAGAAAAAAUGCGUAAUAAACGAUAUUUGUAACGCGAAAAAUAUCCGCGUGGCGAAUGUAACUCGAAGAAAAUGUUUCGAAUUCGACAAAUAAGAAACUGGAUCUUGAGAAUUGAAUGUUAAGAAAGAAAUUUAUUUGCUAUGGGAUAUCUUCGACAAUCCUAUCCAAUAAUAAAUAUUGUGUUUAAAUAAUUCAACGUAAUAAUAAUAAAAAAGAUAAAACUGAAAAUUAUAAAAUGAAAAAAAGCACCGACUCAAAAAUUGAAAGGAAUAAAAAAAUUUCCAAUUAAAGUUAGGAACAUUAUUAUAUAUGUAUAUAUUAUAAGAUAACUUAAAAUUAAUUCAUAAAUAUGAAUGGAUUAGAUUAAAAAAUCCGCUAGGUGACGAGCAAAUUAAUUUUAAUACAGUUUUGCAAAGUUUUGCGAAUCAAAUAUGGCGGUAAAAAAAGUGGGAAGCCUCUAUUUUUCAUACGUUCGAUUCUUAUUCAUAUGGAACGUAUAAAAAAUCAUUGACAAAUCAUUACACAUUGAAUUUUUAAUAUAAAAUAAUUAUUUAACUUUAAGUUUAUUUUACGAAAAAACAAAAAGCUCAUCGAUAAUUUAUAAUGAUUUAAAUAAAAAUAAAUAUUUUGAGAUCUUAUUUAUCGAUCGUGAUCGAUUAGUUGUCUUAUAUUGCGUAUCUUUUAGAGAAUUUAAAAUUUAACUAAAAAUAUAAUUGAAACAAUUAUUUUUUAUACAUUUGAAAAUGAAUUUUGUCCAGUUAAUAUAUACAAUCUUUCUGCUUCGAUAAGUCUAAUAUAAUUCGCUUUAAUAACGUUCAUCUUUCAAUUUUUUAUUAACAUUGAUUGUUAUCUUUCUCUAAGCUGCGGUGUUCGCAUAUCUCUGGCAAUCGCGCCACGAAACCAUACGUACUACAUACGAGGAGAAGAAAGUGAGCGUCGAAUAUCCAGAUGAAGCAAACGUAAAAAUGUUUUCAUUCGAAACGUCGAUGAUAAUACAGAUAUAAUAAAACACUGUCUCUGAAAAAUUUAA